GUUAAAAUAAUUAAGGGCACACAAAGGAUGCCUAGGUAGUAAGAGCCGAUGAAGGACGUGGUAAGCUUGCGAUAAGCCUAGAUAAGUUGCAAUCGAACGUAAGAGUCUAGGAUUUCCGAAUGGAGCAAUCUAUUAAGAUGGAGUCUUAAUACGAAAGAGGGAACCGCGUGAACUGAAACAUCUAAGUAACGCGAGGAAAAGAAAGUAAAAACGAUACCCAAAGUAGCGGCGAGCGAAAUGGGUCAAGCCUAAACCUUAAAUAUGCCAAGGAUACAGCCGUUGUAUUUAAGGGGUGCGGGACAGAGUGGUGAAGAACUGUAAGAUAUUCAAUAUAGUGUAUCGAUGAAUUAGAAUUGUCUGGAAAGGUGAACCGUAGAAGGUGAAAGUCCUGUAUAAGUAAAUCCUUACACAUAUAACUUUGCUCCCAAGUAACAUGGAACACGAGGAAUUCUGUGUGAAUCAGUGAGGACCAUAUCUCCAUAAGGCUAAAUACUCU
rnacentral:rRNA from 1 species